rnacentral:rRNA from 1 species
GACGAACGCUGGCGGCGUGCUUAACACAUGCAAGUCGAACGGAAAGGCCCUGCUUGCAGGGUACUCGAGUGGCGAACGGGUGAGUAACACGUGGGUGAUCUGCCCUGCACUUCGGGAUAAGCCUGGGAAACUGGGUCUAAUACCGGAUAGGAGCCAUUUUUAGUGUGAUGGUUGGAAAGUUUUUUCGGUGUAGGAUGGGCUCGCGGCCUAUCAGCUUGUUGGUGGGGUAAUGGCCUACCAAGGCGGCGACGGGUAGCCGGCCUGAGAGGGUGGACGGCCACAUUGGGACUGAGAUACGGCCCAGACUCCUACGGGAGGCAGCAGUGGGGAAUAUUGCACAAUGGGCGCAAGCCUGAUGCAGCGACGCCGCGUGGGGGAUGACGGCCUUCGGGUUGUAAACUCCUUUCGCUAGGGACGAAGCUUUUUGUGACGGUACCUAGAUAAGAAGCACCGGCUAACCACGUG